GUAAUUUCUGAUUAUGGAAGAGGAAUCUUGGGAGCAAAAGUUGAGGGAUUUGGAACAGGCAUUUGUGAAAUUGUUGACAGGGCAUUUAAAAGAUAUGAGGAGAGGCUGGAUAAAAUAUGGGAGACGUGGGAGAUGUCAUUUCAAGAGAAAAUAGAGAAAUUUGAAAUAGAGGAGCAAGUGCCCAUUAAUGAUGUGGAUAUGACAGAAGAGGAUCACAAUGCAGAAAAGUUUGAUGUGCAAAUGUUAAACUUUGAUGAGG
rnacentral:misc_RNA from 1 species